GGGUUAGUAGGUUGGUCAUGCCUCUGGUAUGCACUGGUCUCACUGAUUCCUCCUUCCUGAUGAGCCGUAAUGCCAUUCAUUUGGUGUUUUGGGGAAUUUGGACUGUUACUUUGAAAAAAUUAGAGUGUUUAAAGCAAGCUAACGCUUGAAUACAUUAGCAUGGAAUAAUGAAAUAGGACGUUCGAUCCUAUUUUGUUGGUUUCUAGGACCGCCGUA
rnacentral:rRNA from 1 species